GCGGGGGUCGCAUAGCCCGGCAAUUGCGCCGCGCUCAAGACGCGGUGGGUUAGUCCCUUCGUGGGUUCGAAUCCCACCCCCCGCA
rnacentral:tRNA from 1 species